GGGCCAGAACACUUUGUUCUCUGUGUAAGGGAAUGUUACUGUUACUAAAUACUACAUAGUAUACGUAUUGGUAAUUAAGUUGGUUAGUUCAUGUGUAUUCCAACAAAGUGAACUGCAGCUCUACUCUUUGUCCUAAUGACUUUUAAACUUAUGUGAAUGUCUUUAACCAUUAUCACAUUAUAGAUCAUGAAGCCACUCCUGAGAGAGAUCCUCUUUUUAGACUCGCAGUACACAUUGCAUGAGUCUGGGUUCGGUGAUGCUGAGUACAGAGCCAUAUUUAGGUCCACAUUUGAGGCUUACUGUUUGCUAUGUUCAUAUAGCAACUUACAUUUUGGCUACGUUCCUAUAGCCUGUACUGAUAUGUUUCAGCUGAUAACGUCUCAGUGGUUGUCACAUCUAUCUGUUUCAAAUUAUUUAUAUUUUUGCUUGUAUAGAGAUCUUGCUCAGAAAAUUGAUACAGGGAGCUGGACUGAGAAGACUGGGCAUGAUAUUGUGGGCUUGCCACACCAGAUCUGUGGAAAUGACUGUGGGAUUUUUAUGCUUAUGUAUACACUCUCCAUUGUGACAGGCACAGGGUUUCAAUUCCAGGAGGUGAGUUGAUUCA